CAGAGCUCUCCCAAACUGCCCCCCUUUGGGGGAGAUAUUGGUGACAUGUGUGUUUUCUGAGAAAGAGUAGCUGAAAAUCCAGGAGCAUGUUUAGGGGAAAGUGUGUCUGGGGAGGUGUGUAAAGAAUUCCAAUCCAGAGAAGUCUUCUUGCCAGAAGCUUUUUGCCCUGAAAAACCUCCCUCGGAUAUAGGCACCAAGAUUAGCUACACCUCAGGUGAGGACCACUGAAGGCAGAGCAGUUAAGGUACUUGUCUCAAGACGUCAGUCAUCCGAUAAGGUGGUCAAGCAAGAGUUCGACUCCAGUCGAACCUGGUUGCCAAAGAAGAGUCUCUCUCCCUUCUGAACCCAGGCAGCAAAAUGCACGAUCUCAAAUGAAAAACAGAGCCUCGAAAUGAAGAACUCCAGAAAGCCCUGGGUGUCAAGUAAAAUCUGAGAUGUAGAGUCCGAUUCAGA